rnacentral:rRNA from 1 species
CCUACGGGAGGCAGCAGUGGGGAAUUUUCCGCAAUGGGCGAAAGCCUGACGGAGCAACGCCGCGUGAGGGAUGAAGGCCUCUGGGCUGUAAACCUCUUUUCUCAAGGAAGAAGAUCUGACGGUACUUGAGGAAUAAGCCACGGCUAAUUCCGUGCCAGCAGCCGCGGUAAUACGGGAGUGGCAAGCGUUAUCCGGAAUUAUUGGGCGUAAAGCGUCCGCAGGCGGCCUCGUAAGUCUGUCGUUAAAGCGUGGAGCUUAACUCCAUUUCAGCGAUGGAAACUGUGAGGCUAGAGUGUGGUAGGGGCAGAGGGAAUUCCCGGUGUAGCGGUGAAAUGCGUAGAUAUCGGGAAGAACACCAGUGGCGAAGGCGCUCUGCUGGGCCAUAACUGACGCUCAUGGACGAAAGCCAGGGGAGCGAAAGGGAUUAGAUACCCCUGUAGUCCUGGCCGUAAACGAUGAACACUAGGUGUCGGGGGAAUCGACCCCCUCGGUGUCGUAGCCAACGCGUUAAGUGUUCCGCCUGGGGAGUACGCACGCAAGUGUGAAACUCAAAGGAAUUGACGG